AGCAGCUGGAAUUUUCAAGCACUCCUAAAUGUUAGAGGACAACAAAUAUGAAAUAAAAACAGAAGGAUAAAAAAAGUUGGUUUACAUACUUCAGAUUUCUGAUCCUGCCACAAGUAGUCUGCAUUCAAGGUUUUCAGGCCCUGUUCUUUGAUUCUUCCUGAUAAGCAACACAAUGUUGUGUGUGUGUGGGCAGGGUGUGGGGAGGACAGAAGGAUGGGGAAUAGUGUGUGUGUGGUGGAGGGAUUGACGCAACUUUACAGGCUAUGAGCUCCUCAUUCUCGCAUCCUUGUUUCUCUUCGUUUGGAGGUGACAACUAACGUGGGCCACCAAGAUAUAUCACGGCCACUUUUUUACUUUGUAGUCCCCUGAGGGUUCAGACUUCCAGUUUAACAGGCAAUAGCUUACAUUCCCAACUAGUUAAAGCCAAGAGUGAUUUAGCCUGUAGGUGAGCUCCUUCCUUUUUCACACAGGGAAAGGUCUUCGUUUUGCAAGCUCUAAUGAUAAUGGUCAUAGCAUCUGUAUAAUUACAAUAUUCACACACAGCAACUAAUGUCUUUCCCACGAUCUCUCAAGUGGCUGGCAAAGGAUGAUAUAGAGGAAUCCAGCUGUGGAGUCCAGUCAAAGGAGAGGCUGGAGGGAUUAGGCCAGAAGGUCAGAGCUUCCCUGUGGGAAACCUGGGGUUAAAGGAGAACUGGACUUACAGCUCCAGAGACAGGACACCCCCUAGGAGUGUUGGUUGUCAUACAGGUGUGUCAUAGAGGAGCUAAAAAAUCAUCAUCCCCAAGUUAGAGACCAGGUGCUUGGGGGCCAGACCGUGCCUGGGCCUCACGUGAUAGUGGGGUAGGGACAUCCAUAGGAUCAGUAAUUCUGGACUUUGUGGACACAGGCCUUGACAGGGCUGACCUUGAACUUUCAAGGGGCAGAGGUUGUUAAUGGCAGCUGGGGAGACAGUGCUGAGGCAUGCAGCAGAAGAAAUGUUUAAGGAGACUAGGUUGACUCUGUUCAGAUCCAAAGCUCCAGGAGAGCAUCUGAUUGCUGCAUCCAGGCUCCAUGCUGAGCCCAUGUUGGUGAAGGCUGGAAGAAACAAGUCUGCCCUUUUGGUCUCUACAGUUCCUCCUGAGACUCCCAAAGAAAGGAAUUCCCCUCAACAGUAAGAUUUUGGGAUUAAUAGAUGGCCAAACAUAAGACAAAGCAAAACAAAUGGCCAGUGGCCACUGUAUUUUAUCUCCAGAAUUUGUGAAACUGAUGAAUGUAUAUGAGAGUAUUUCAUGCCACUAAAGUACUCUACUAAUACCAGGAUUUACUGAAGAUGUGAUAGUUGUCUUUCCAUAUGUUUUAUCCCACAGAUAGGUUUCAUUUUUGCUCUUCCAUUUCUUGGCUUUAAUUCACCUUUUCCCAAAAGCACUUCUAGACUGGCCAUCUCAGCUUCCAGUUCUCCCUAAACUUCUUUGAUACUCUAGUCUUUC
rnacentral:lncRNA from 1 species